rnacentral:rRNA from 1 species
AACGAACGCUCGCGGCAGGCCUAAAACAUGCAAGUCGAACGGGUGUAGCAAUACAUCAGUGGCGCACGGGUGAGUAACGCGUGGGAACGUGCCCUUCAGUACGGGACAACGUCGGGAAACUGACGCUAAUACCGUAUAAUAUCUCCGGAUCAAAGAUUUAUCGCUGAAGGAGCGGCCCGCGUCUGAUUAGCUAGUUGGUGGGGUAAUGGCCUACCAAGGCUACGAUCAGUAGCUGGUCUGAGAGGAUGAUCAGCCACACUGGGACUGAGACACGACCCAGACGCCUACGGGAGGCAGCAGUUAGGAAUAUUGGACAAUGGGCGAAAGCCUGAUCCAGCCAUGCCGCGUGUGUGAUGAAGGCCCUAGGGUUGUAAAGCACUUUCGUUGGGGAUGAUAAUGACCGUACCCAAAGAAGAAGCCACGGCUAAAUUCGUGCCAGCCGCCGCGGUAA